rnacentral:rRNA from 1 species
UACGUAGGGUGCGAGCGUUGUCCGGAAUUACUGGGCGUAAAGAGCUUGUAGGUGGUUUGUCGCGUUGUUCGUGAAAUCUCACGGCUCAACUGUGAGCGUGCGGGCGAUACGGGCAGACUAGAGUACUGCAGGGGAGACUGGAAUUCCUGGUGUAGCGGUGGAAUGCGCAGAUAUCUGGAGGAACACCGGUGGCGAAGGCGGCAUCCUGGACCAACACUGACGCUGAGGAGCGAAAGCCAGGGGAGCAAACGGG